rnacentral:rRNA from 1 species
GACGAACGCUGGCGGCGUGCUUAACACAUGCAAGUCGAACGGAAAGGCCCUGCUUUUGUGGGGUGCUCGAGUGGCGAACGGGUGAGUAACACGUGAGUAACCUGCCCUUGACUUUGGGAUAACUUCAGGAAACUGGGGCUAAUACCGGAUAGGAGCUCCUGCUGCAUGGUGGGGGUUGGAAAGUUUCGGCGGUUGGGGAUGGACUCGCGGCUUAUCAGCUUGUUGGUGGGGUAGUGGCUUACCAAGGCUUUGACGGGUAGCCGGCCUGAGAGGGUGACCGGCCACAUUGGGACUGAGAUACGGCCCAGACUCCUACGGGAGGCAACAGUGGGGAAUAUUGCACAAUGGGCGGGAGCCUGAUGCAGCAACGGCGCGUGCGGGAUGACGGCCUUCGGGUUGUAAACCGCCUUCGCCUGUGACGAAGCGUGAGUGACGGUAAUGGGUAAAGAAGCACCGGCUAACUACGUG